UACAGAGGGUGCGAGCGCUAAUCGGAAUUACUGGGCGUAAAGCGUGCGCAGGCGGUGAUGUAAGACAGGUGUGAAAUCCCCGGGCUCAACCCGGGAACUGCGUCCGAUACUGGAGGGCUUGAAUCCGGGAGAGGGAUGUGGAAUUCCAGGUGUAGCGGUGAAAUGCGUAGAUAUCUGGAGGAACACCGGUGGCGAAGGCGACAUCCUGGACCGGUAUUGACGCUGAGGCGCGAAAGCGUGGGGAGCAAACAGG
rnacentral:rRNA from 1 species